UUUUUCAGGAACCACUGGCAUGAAAGGAGACAUAGGGGUCAUGGGACCUCCUGGAGCCAAGGGCAGUCAAGGUGACUCGGGGAAACCAGGCCCCCCAGGUGUGUCUGGAAUUCCUGGAAUGAAAGGAGAUCAAGGACAACCUGGAGUGGAGGGUCUUCGAGGCAUUCCAGGUCUGCCAGGCACCCCAGGUGCCAAGGGUGAGCCUGGCCGCNGCUCCAGGGG